GGUCUCCAGCUGUUGUGUCCUCCUUGGUACUUGACAUGAUGCCUGGCUUCUCAACAACUUUGGAGCAGUUCUCACAGGCCCAUUCUCUCUCCUCUGUUUCAAGAUACAAUUCCAAGCAUUUCUCAAUCGAUGCAAGAGAGUUGAUAUCAUGUGCCUUGUCAUAAACAACAUCGCUAAUCUGAGUUUUCCCCUUGUCUUUUGUAGUAACUUUUGCUGAGGAGGCGGUCAUCUUGGCUUCUGUACUAACUUCUGGUUGAACAGCACUGUCAUUUAUCUUUACAUCACUGCCUGAUGCUAUCAGUGCAUUCUCUUCGCUUAGUGGAGAAACAAAUGAUGGUGAAGCACGAUCUUCUGGAAUGCGGGAAUCUGCUGUUGCUGCAUCCAUUCCAUCAACUUUGGCAUCACACAACACUUUCUGAGGAAGAGCAUCAACAACCUUUCCUUGGACCUUAUCCUUUCUAGUCUGCAAAGGACCACCUAUAGCAUCCUUGCUAUGAGAUAUCUGUUCCACUUUGGUAGAAUCUGCAGAAUCAAGCAUAUAAAUUUUUAGUUUUGUCCUCAACAGCUACUUCAUGAAACCAGCAAUCUUCAUUCUCUACAAGGUUUGAGAACCUUUAUCCUCUACAUUUGAUUAUUCGAAGCUUCUUUUCUUCAAAGAUCUCCACAUGUACUUAAGUUAACCAACAAUUUGGAGAAAAAAAUUAUUAUAC
rnacentral:sRNA from 1 species